UGAACCAGCGAGGGGUGCUUCUCGCGGGUGGGCCCAUGGAAGAGGAGUCCUCCUCUUCCGUGAACAUGCCCAGCCCGCGGGUCGCUGAGAUCAUACCCUUUUCACCUGAUCCGGGUAAAACCGGCGGAGGGACUGCUGUGAUGUACUUGG
rnacentral:ncRNA from 2 species